rnacentral:rRNA from 1 species
AACGAACGCUGGCGGCAGGCUUAACACAUGCAAGUCGAGCGCCCCGCAAGGGGAGCGGCAGACGGGUGAGUAACGCGUGGGAAUCUACCGUACCCUACGGAAUAGCUCCGGGAAACUGGAAUUAAUACCGUAUACGCCCUACGGGGGAAAGAUUUAUCGGGGUAUGAUGAGCCCGCGUUGGAUUAGCUAGUUGGUGGGGUAAAGGCCUACCAAGGCGACGAUCCAUAGCUGGUCUGAGAGGAUGAUCAGCCACAUUGGGACUGAGACACGGCCCAAACUCCUACGGGAGGCAGCAGUGGGGAAUAUUGGACAAUGGGCGCAAGCCUGAUCCAGCCAUGCCGCGUGAGUGAUGAAGGCCCUAGGGUUGUAAAGCUCUUUCACCGGUGAAGAUAAUGACGGUAACCGGAGAAGAAGCCCCGGCUAACUUCGUGCCAGCCGCCGCCGUAA